rnacentral:rRNA from 2 species
GGACUACACGGGUAUCUAAUCCCGUUUGCUCCCCUGGCUUUCGCGCAUCAGCGUCAGUGAAGAUCCAGCACGCCGCUUUCGCCACCGGCGUUCCUUCCGAUAUCUACGCAUUUCACCGCUCCACCGGAAGUUCCGCGUGCCCCUACCUCCCUCCAGCCCGGCAGUAUCGGGGGCCCUUUUCCAGUUGAGCUGAAAGAUUUCACCCCCGACUUGCCGAGCCGCCUACGCGCCCUUUAAGCCCAGUGAAUCCGAACAACGUUCGCACGGUUCGUCUUACCGCGGCUGCUGGCAC